AAAGGUUUCGGUUUCCAAAGAUGUUAUCAGGGUCCACAAAACUGACAGACUUCAGCAUUCCAAUUUUUUUAAAGUAAUUAAUUGGGGUUAUCAAAUCAAGGUUUAAAUUUAAGAACAGCAUUUUAUUGGGAAUUAUACCAAUAUGUAUAUGUUAUUGUUUUAGUACUCAACAAGCAUUUAUAUAGAAUGAGUGCUUCUCUCAUCCAUACAAGGCAUUCUAAAGGGAAAUUAUGUAUUAAAAUUUUAUAAAGGACAAAUUCAAUGAAUUAUAAGCAAAACUGAGAGAAGUACAUGUUACACUAGUUAAGAGUUUAACUUUAGUUUCUAAUUUGAGUUUAGCCUAGAUAAUUAAUUUAUUGAUGUCGUACUGAUCCUUGUGUUUGUAUGAUUAUAGAGACCGUACUGGAGUAUUUGUGCCGCCUGAUAUUUGGGACUACACACCAAUCUCUCUGGCUGACCUACCUUUUUUUGCAAUUAAAUCUGUUUGGUCAAAAUCCAUGCUGGCCGAAGAAACUGAGAUGCUUACUUAUGGGGACAUAAACUAACUUGGAAAGUCCUGAAGAUGCAGUGCUGUCUAAUGCCGCUAUUUCUGUAUUACCCUUUCAACAAUUGGGGUGUUGCACAGAGUAUUGUGGUGAACAUCCAGCAAACAGAAGAAUUAAGAACUAUGUGGAAGCUGACAUUGUCUUGUUGUCAGCCAUAUUGCUACCCUUAGCUAUGUUAUGGUGUCUAAGAUUAUGGAACAAAGUUUAUGGUGUCUACGAUUCUUUAUACUCCUUGAAAGACUUAUAAUAUUUUUCUGGACUAUGCUGGACUAUUGAACUAUUUUGUUAUUUUUAUUUUUGUAGAGUUAGCCGGAGAGAGAAGAAGUGUUAGCUUACUCAGGCAUGGAUGUACUAUGUGUGUCAUUGAUGUAUGUUGAGUGUACCAAGGAUGGAUUCCCAUGUAUUAAGUGUGGAUAUGACUGGACCAUCAAAAUAGGGAUUUGAUUAGGAGGCAUAGGACGCAAGGUCAUGAUUGGGAUUAUUGCUAGAAUUGCAAACUGAUUAGAAAUGAUCUUAUGAUUUAAUAUGUAAGUGGGCCUUUUCAAACUAAUCAAGAAGUGUUUCCCAAUCCCGAUACCUGAGCUAUUUACUUACAUAGUGCAGAUUUUAUAAGUCACUAAUGCUGUUAACGUGAGGGGAUGACAUGUCUACACAGUCAUGGCCCUCACUUAGAGUUUCCCCAGAUGUGCUUUUUUCCUCAAUUAUGAGUUUUUGCCACUGGGUUUUUUGACCUGGCCCAAGUUCACUGGGUGGACUGGUAAUCCAAGACCCUGGUCCAAAGAGGGGAAAUAGAUUUUAUUCCCAUUUUUGAUUAUAUGUGUUUACGUUGUGAAUUAUAAUAAUAAUAUUCCCGUUGUUGGGAAUAAUACACUUUGCCUGUUUUGAUCCAAGGCUCAAGUUGCAGAUAACAUGAUGUGCAGUAUGUUUAAAAUUGGUUACGAUGUCAGCUGUUUGAAAUAUUUAACUUGUACACUUAAAAUAUGUGUACAACAGAUGAUUACAAAAGCUGAAAAUCGACAGCUCGAUCUCCACUUAUUGGGAAAACCUACGGCAUAGAGCAAAUGGGGGAAAUCGAGGUGAAGAAAUAAGGAAAGUCCCGCAGACGUGAUUAGCACGUCUGAAUAUACCUCCUUUCGUUUCUCUGCCGCAGGCCUCCCAUGGAUAUUCCAUAAGGUUGAUCACGAUAAGAUCUAAAGAGAGGAAUUGUAGGAUAUGAAUAUCCAUUUUGUUCUAUAUCCUAACUGUUCAUGUAAGGGUUAAUUUGAACCAAGAAUAAAUUUGGAAUUGUAUCUCCAAUUCUCAGAAAUAAAACUUAUCUAUUUACGGGAAAUGGUAUUGGAACAUGAUUUUGUUAUGUUCCUGGAAAAAGAUAU
rnacentral:lncRNA from 1 species